rnacentral:lncRNA from 1 species
CUAGGAUCUACAUCAAUACUUAAUUCACAAUUAAGUGUAUUGCAUUAUUCAUGUCUUAUCUUGGUUUUGCAUGCAUUACAACUUUGAAUCAUUAAAACCCCUUUUAAUGUUCAAGUUAAAUGGUUUCCAUAUGCAUACAAACAUGUCUAUUCAUCAUAUGAAUAACAUCAUAAAAUAAUAUAAUCAGUUUACAUCAUAUGUAAAAGAUCACAUCUUGCAUAGAUAUUUGAUAUCACAAAGAACCUGGACGGGCUCUGAUACCACUGAUAGUGUGCGUGCAGAGGGCUAAGCAUGAAUUUUAGAAAAUUU